rnacentral:rRNA from 1 species
UACGGGGGGGGCAAGCGUUGUUCGGAAUUACUGGGCGUAAAGGGCUCGUAGGCGGCCAACUAAGUCGGAUGUGAAAUCCCCAGGCUUAACCUGGGAAUUGCAUCCGAUACUGGAUGGCUUGAAUCCGGGAGAGGGAUGCGGAAUUCCAGGUGUAGCGGUGAAAUGCGUAGAUAUCUGGAGGAACACCGGUGGCGAAGGCGGCAUCCUGGACCGACACUGACGCUGAGGAGCGAAAGCCAGGGAGCAAACGGG